rnacentral:rRNA from 1 species
ACCCAGACUCCUACGGGAGGCAGCAGUGGGGAAUAUUGCACAAUGGGGGGAACCCUGAUGCAGCGACGCCGCGUGAGCGAUGAAGUAUUUCGGUAUGUAAAGCUCUAUCAGCAGGGAAGAAGAUGACGGUACCUGACUAAGAAGCCCCGGCUAACUACGUGCCAGCAGCCGCGGUAAUACGUAGGGGGCAAGCGUUAUCCGGAUUUACUGGGUGUAAAGGGAGCGUAGACGGCGAUGCAAGCCAGAUGUGAAAGUCCGGGGCUCAACCCCGGGACUGCAUUUGGAACUGUGUGGCUGGAGUGUCGGAGAGGCAGGCGGAAUUCCUAGUGUAGCGGUGAAAUGCGUAGAUAUUAGGAGGAACACCAGUGGCGAAGGCGGCCUGCUGGACGAUGACUGACGUUGAGGCUCGAAAGCGUGGGGAGCAAACAGGAUUAGAUACCCUAGUA